GGCAGCUUCCUGGAAACUCAGUGGAGAAGAGGCCCCUGGUCUUCUUGAAGAGGAGUCCAAGGUUUCAGCCAAGUGUGAUGGAUCCAUAAAUCAAUUCCCACCAUGUUAACUGUCGUUGGGGCGGACAGAAUGACUGAAAGUGGUCCUUCCCAAGAUGGACCUAGAGAGGAAGAGUUGGAGGGGAGAGACUUGACAAGUACUAAAUCUCCAGGGAAGAAUAACUAUUUCGCCUUUUCCCUAGUGUGUCCUUCAGGUGGCCUGGAUUCUCCACUCUGAAGAGGGUAUUGUGGCCAGGCCAUGCUGCAGAAGAAAAUAAGCCACUUCUUCAAAGAUUGUGGAUCAAAUUGGUCCCAAUUAUCCAGCAUACACUUUAAGAGUGACUCUGUUUAGGGAAGAGUAGCAUUCAUCUAAAAUUGAACACAGAAAUACCCACAUCCCUGGUUAUUUCCGGUAAUUACCAACCCUGGGGCAUCCCCCAGUGGCAUAGCACUCUAAUUUUUCUGCGCCCUAAAUGCAUGAUUAUCUCGUGGGCCUUCCCAAUUUGCCAAGUUUAAUCACACUAUGGAGUAAUGGGCGUAUCCUCACUGUCUAAUAUCCAUUUUUGGCCACCUUAAAGGACAUGGGGACUGCUGGGUUUAGUGGCCUUGUACCAGAGUGUACUUGAAGAACUAGGCCAGUGAGACUUGGGCAACAGACACUAUUUAUGUUCCCUAGCAAGGGUCCAAUUAACAUAGGCUUGACCAUAAAACUACCCCAGGAGGAAAAAUUCUUUGAGAAGGGUCUCUAAAGGUAACAGUCUUAAAGAAGGUAAUGGCUGGCCACAGGGCCAAGGCCGGGACAAUGCCUUCCUGACCAGAGCCUUUUCUCUCUACAUUCCAUCAUAGGAGUAUGACCUAUCGCUUUGGGCCCUGUAAUUAACUGUUUGAGUCUUGGACCAAAUAUUUGAGUCAAACUAUUUGAGUCUGACUAUGGUGCUCUGUAUGGAGAAGUUCUGCCGUAUGGAGGACUGAUUCUAAACAUGACAAAUUUUAGGUUGUAGGGUCCUGGAACCUUUUGGGUGGAUUGAAAAAUUGCAGGUACCAGAAAAUAAAAUGUCCUAUAGCCUCCA
rnacentral:lncRNA from 13 species